ensembl:lncRNA
GCCUAGUGUUAAAGCCAAAUGGAUGAUUGAUCACUGUCUUGCUUUAAGAGUGAGGAAGUUGUGAAUACGAGAGGGAACUUCACACUCUGCGAGCACGAUACAAAAGAACAUUCUCUUUAUUUGCAUUUUACCAAUUAAAAAGAAGCGUUUUAGUAUUUCACAUAAAAACUUUUAUAUUCAAAGUAAUGGAGGGGAGAAGACAAAAUGUAGUGCAGAGAGUAAGACAAUUUAAUAAAGCUGGAACUUUGAGGGGGAAAAUGAAAAGAACAAAGUUAGGAAAGUAAGCGGCUUUGUAAAUGUUUUCCACCUUUGAGGUUUUGCUCACUUUAAGAGUUUUUUUUUUUUUUUUUGAAUGUGUCCCUGGGGGAGCAUCAUGGCUCCAGAUCCUCUUUGUGUGUCUAGGGAAGUGCCCUUUAAAAGAUUACUUUGAUGGCAUUUCUUCAUCAUUACUCAGCUGGAAGUGAAAAGAUAGAAAAGCUGUUUGAGAGGGGGUCUAACAAAGCAACAACAGUUCUGGGCAAAUCCGAGAUGCUUCCUCUAGUUUGAAAACACCUUCACCAGCUGAGCGUCUGUGAUUCAUACAUCUGUUUGUCUCUAUUUUAGAAGCUAGAAUUAUCUGCUUAGCAAUGAGAACAAAGGUAUUUGGUUUUAUAACAAACUUUUCACAUCUGGAACUUUUCCAGUUUUUUAUGACCUUCACCUUAUUUUUCUUCUGUGUAUCGUUUUGUAUUUUUGGCCGUGCAAACUUACCUUUACUAAUUUACCAACACAUUCUCAUUUCCAAGGCACCAAAUAGGAUCGCAUAUGUGAGAUAUGCAUAACGUGUUCUUUUCAUCUGUGCCACAUGGGUCAAGGCAAUAUUAGACACUGAGAGCAAAUUGUUUGAAAUGGUUAUUUCUUGUCAUACAGACAACCAAUAUGGUUACAGUAUAAUAAAAGUCCACAGGAACAUAUUACAGUGCUCAGAAUUUCAAGGCAGCACUGAAAAUAAGGAUUGAAAUGUUGAACUACACAUUGUUUAGGUUUAAACUUUAAAAGUUGUCUUGAUGCAUGCUCA